CGCAACCAAUAGUAGAGGAGCUGGAAUGAGCCCUCGUUGCUAGUGGAGACGUUCAGGGGGAGCUUUAAAGAGCUUGUUUACAGAACGGAGAGAGCCUCUAGGUUGGCGGUGUUGCAUGCGAGGGGUCUGCAAGGUGACGUUGAAUAUAUAGUCUACUACACGGAUGGGAUAACGGAAUUCGUACCUGAGACACCCGCGCACAGACUGUUUUUGGUCGUUGUUACAGCUUAGAACUACUUAUGUGAUGUUAUAGUGGUUGCGAAUGACACUGCCGCAUUCCUUUUCGUUUUAAAAAAUAUAUAAUUUACCGUUACUAGUUUUGGUGGGGGCAAGUGUUGGGAAUAAGACGAGGUUUUAGAAUUGUAUCACUGCCGAAUUAUUUUGUGGACGGCGUGGACCAACGAUACGGGACGAAAUGGAUAACGAAAAGUACUUACCAGAGCUGAUUGCAGAGAAGGACACACUGGACCCCACGUUUCAUCACUCUCUACGACUACUAGAUCAAGAAAUCGAAAAAUUACAAAAAGAUGAAGAAAAAGAAGAAAAAGAAGAGGAGAAGUUUAUCGACGUGGUCAUCAACAAGAACAUGAAGCUGGGCCAGAAAGUGUUAAUACCCUUCAAACAGUUUCCCAAAUUUAACUUUGUGGGCAAACUGCUGGGUCCACGCGGGAACUCACUAAAGAGACUACAGGAAGACACGCUCACUAAGAUGUCCAUUCUGGGGAAAGGAUCAAUGAGAGACAAAGAGAAGGAGGAAGAGCUACGGAAGAGCGGAGAGGCCAAAUAUCAGCACCUGAACGAGGACCUCCAUGUCCUCAUAGAAGUGUUCGCUCCCCCUGCAGAGGCCUACAAUAGGAUGGGUCAUGCACUGGAGGAGAUCAAGAAGUUCCUCAUACCGGAUUACAAUGAUGAGAUCCGACAGGCGCAGCUGCAGGAGCUAACGUACCUGAAUGGUGGCUCAGAGGAUGCCAAGGUGCCAACGGUGAGGGGCAAACUACCUACAGCACGGGGUAGAGGGACACCUGCCCCAGGACCCAUCAGGAGUCGAGGAGGUGUGCCCCCUCCCCACGCAGCCGUCCCCCGUGGAGCAGCACCGAGAGGGGCACCCCCCAGCCGGGUACCAUCCGCCCGAGGGAGGGGCGUGCCUGCACCAAGAGCACGAGGGGCUCCCCCGUCCGCGGGGUACAGACCACCACCACCCGUAGCACAGGACACAUAUGGGGAAUAUGAAUAUGAUGAUGGAUACGGGACAGCUUACGAUGACCAGGGUUAUGACUCCUACGACAACAGUUACAGCAAUCAAGGACAGAACUCAGACGAUUAUUAUGAGUACGGACACGAUAAUGGUGAGGAAUCAUAUGAGUCAUACGCAGGUCAGGAGGAGUGGACAACUAAUCGCAGCAAGGUGCCAGCUGCACGGACGACCAAGGGAGUGUACAGAGAGACGCCCUACUCCAGAUAUUGAACUGAUUAUACAACAACCUGCAGAAUCCCUCAUGGACGUGUCAUCAAGCUGGUGCCAGAGCCCAGGGCACAUCCGAACACCCUCAAGCUCUGAAGGUUGAAACAAAACAUCGCUGGAAUGACAUGACUCUAAGAUGUAGCUUCCAGACAGCUCUCAGAAGAAUCACAUGGCAGGACCACAUGAAAGAAAUGCACCGAUUUGGUCUUUAAAAGGAAAGGAGAACACAUCUCCCAGCUGAAGAAACCAGAUGAAGAAACUUCAGUGUGGAUCUCUGAUCUAUCUACAGACCAAACACUGAACAUUUCAUUUCUCUCCGUGGAUGUCGUAGCAGAGCCACCUGUAGAGGAACUGUAAAGGGAAGAGGCUAAUGUGUAGAUCACACUUCCUAGCUCUUGUCCCAUAGACACAGCAGACCAACAUCACACUUCUCCCAGCUUUUAUAGAGAGAGACAAUUAACCUGUAUAACACUUCUCCCAGCUUUAAGAGCGAGAGAGAGACAGCAGUCCAGCCUCACACUUCUCCCAUGCAGCCUCUAGAACCACAGGCAGGAGACCUGUAUCACACUUCUCCUCCAGAGAGACAGACAGGAGACCUGUAUCACACUUCUCCUCCAGAGAGACAGACAGGAGACCUGUAUCACACUUCUCCUCUGGAGACAGACCAGAGACCUGUAUCACACUUCUCCUCCAGAGAGACAGACAGGAAACCUGCAUCACACUUCCCCAAGCGUCUAGAGCCACAGACAGGAAACCUUUAUUACACUUCUCCUCUAUAGAGACAGAUAGGACCCAGCUAGCAAUGAGGAAUCAGCCCAGAAGCGUCCCUCUUCCGGGGGGCCAGAACUGAUAGAAUCGGCCUGGAAUCGGGUGUCGGACUCGGCCCGGAAUCAAAAUGAAUGACUGCCCAGAAUCGGCCCAAGUACAUCGGCCAUUUCCGUCUACAGGAAUUCAGCUGACUUUGCCGGCAUCUUACCAGAAUUCCCCCCAGAAGCUGCCUGAUCCAAAUUUAAAUAAAUGUAUACAAAAAUUACCCUAUUUAGUCAUUUUAAAUAUUACUAUUAUUCAUUUUAUGCAUACAAAUUAUACUCUUCCACCAAAAAAGUCAGAGGAAACACUGUACACCUGUUGACCGUGUCAGCGUGCUUGCGUCAUAGGAGUCACUACAGCGCGAUGGCACAAGGACAUCCUGACCGGCCAAACCGUCCCCUAACUCAGACGACACUGGGCCAAUUGUGCGUCGCCUCAUGGGUCUCCUGGUCACGGCCGGCAUGGGUA